rnacentral:rRNA from 1 species
GGCCCAGACUCCUACGGGAGGCAGCAGUGGGGAAUAUUGCACAAUGGGGGAAACCCUGAUGCAGCGACGCCGCGUGAGUGAAGAAGUAUUUCGGUAUGUAAAGCUCUAUCAGCAGGGAAGAAAAUGACGGUACCUGAUUAAGAAGCCCCGGCUAACUACGUGCCAGCAGCCGCGGUAAUACGUAGGGGGCAAGCGUUAUCCGGAUUUACUGGGUGUAAAGGGAGCGUAGACGGCGAUGCAAGCCAGAUGUGAAAGCCCGGGGCUCAACCCCGGGACUGCAUUUGGAACUGUGUGGCUGGAGUGUCGGAGAGGCAAGUGGAAUUCCUAGUGUAGCGGUGAAAUGCGUAGAUAUUAGGAGGAACACCAGUGACGAAGGCGGCUUGCUGGACGAUGACUGACGUUGAGGCUCGAAAGCGUGGGGAGCAAACAGGAUUAGAUACCCCCGUAGU